rfam:Ovis aries breed Texel chromosome 10, whole genome shotgun sequence.
UCCCUGCUGGUCUAGUGGCUAAGACUCCACGCUCUCAAUGCAGGGGGCCCAGGUUCAAUCCCUGAUCAGGGAA